rnacentral:rRNA from 1 species
UACGUAGGCAGCGAGCGUUGUCCGGAGUACUGGGCGUAAAGCGCACGCAGGCGGUCUGCUAAGUUUGGAGUGACAGUUUGGUGGCUUAACUGCCAAAAGUGCUUCGAAAACUGACAGACUUGAGGGCUUCAGAGGGACACGGAAUUCCGGGUGGAGUGGUGAAAUGCGUUGAGAUCGGAAGGAACGCCCGUGGCGAAAGCGAGGUCCUGGACGUUUUCUGACGCUGAGACGCGAAAGCCAGGGGAGCGAACGGG